rnacentral:rRNA from 1 species
AGUGAACGCUGGCGGUAGGCCUAACACAUGCAAGUCGAACGGCAGCACAGUAAGAGCUUGCUCUUACGGGUGGCGAGUGGCGGACGGGUGAGGAAUACAUCGGAAUCUACUUUUUCGUGGGGGAUAACGUAGGGAAACUUACGCUAAUACCGCAUACGACCUACGGAUGAAAGCAGGGGAUCUUCGGACCUUGCGCGAUUGAAUGAGCCGAUGUCGGAUUAGCUAGUUGGCGGGGUAAAGGCCCACCAAGGCGACGAUCCGUAGCUGGUCUGAGAGGAUGAUCAGCCACACUGGGACUGAGACACGGUCCAGACUCCUACGGGAGGCAGCAGUGGGGAAUAUUGGACAAUGGGCGCAAGCCUGAUCCAGCCAUACCGCGUGGGUGAAGAAGGCCUUCGGGUUGUAAAGCCCUUUUGUUGGGAAAGAAAAGCAGCAGGUUAAUACCCCGCUGUCCUGACGGUACCCAAAGAAUAAGCACCGGCUAACUUCGUG